rnacentral:pre_miRNA from 1 species
CAUCAUUCUUUCGGUGAUAUGUUUGAUAUUCUUGGUUGUACAAGUUAUACAAUCAACCAAGAAUCAGACAUAUAAUCCAAACGUUUGAUU